rnacentral:rRNA from 1 species
CAGCUCAAAUUUGAAAUCUGGCCUUCCGGGCCCGAGUUGUAAUUUGUAGAGGGAGUUUCGGAGGCGGCACCGGCCUAAGUUCCUUGGAACAGGGCGUCAUAGAGGGUGAGAAUCCCGUACGUGGCCGGUGAUCAAUUCCGUGUGAAACCCCUUCGACGAGUCGAGUUGUUUGGGAAUGCAGCUCAAAAUGGGUGGUAAAUUUCAUCUAAAGCUAAAUAUUGGCCAGAGACCGAUAGCGCACAAGUAGAGUGAUCGAAAGAUGAAAAGCACUUUGGAAAGAGAGUUAAAAAGUACGUGAAAUUGUUGAAAGGGAAGCGCUUGCAAUCAGACUUGCUCGCGGGUGAUCAGCCUUCCUUCGGGGGGGUGCACUCGCCCGCGAUCAGGCCAGCAUCGGUUUUGGCGGGCGGAUAAAGGCUCCAGGAAUGUAACUCCCCUCGGGGAGUGUUAUAGCCUGGGGUGCAAUGCGCCCAGCCGGGACCGAGGACCGCGCUUCGGCUAGGAUGCUGGCGUAAUGGUUGUAAGCGACCCGUCUUGAAACACGGACCAAGGAGUCUAACAUCUGUGCGAGUGUUUGGGUGUUAAGCCCAUGCGCGGAAUGAAAGUGAACGGAGGUGGGAGCCCUUUCGGGGGCGCACCAUCGACCGAUCCUGAUGUUUUCGGAUGGAUUUGAGUAGGAGCAUAGCUGUUGGGACCCGAAAGAUGGUGAACUAUGCGUGAAUAGGGUGAAGCCAGAGGAAACUCUGGUGGAGGCUCGCAGCGGUUCUGACGUGCAAAUCGAUCGUCAAAUUUGCGUAUAGGGGCGAAAGACUAAUCGAACCAUCUAGUAAAAUUGCUACUAGAGACACAACAACAGGGGCUCUCAUACCCCAGUAGUCCCUAAGUGUGGGGGCGACACCGCCGGUCUUCGGGAACGCCUUCAGGGCUACCCGCACUGAGCAGUGGCUCAGUUACAGACUAAGCGACGGUGGCCGUGUGCUUGCGGUUAGGAUAUAGUCGGCGGGUCCCCUGACGGGGUGCCCGGUCCGCGAGCUGGUUUCAGCCGAAGUUUCCCUCAGGAUAGCAGUAACGUUUUCAGUUUUAUGAGGUAAAGCGAAUGAUUAGAGGCCUUGGGGGCGAAACGCCCUUAACCUAUUCUCAAACUUUAAAUAUGUAAGA